rnacentral:tRNA from 2 species
AGGAUAAUAGUUAAAAUAUAUAACAUUUAAUUUGCUUUUAAAAAUUAUAAUAAAAAAUUUAUCUUA